GACGUAGGGGGCUAGCGUUGCUCGGAAUCACUGGGCGUAAAGGGUGCGUAGGCGGGUCUUUAAGUCAGGGGUGAAAUCCUGGAGCUCAACUCCAGAACUGCCUUCGAUACUGGGAAGCUCGAGUCCGGGAGAGGUGAGUGGAACUGCGAGUGUAGAGGUGAAAUUCGUAGAUAUUCGCAAGAACACCAGUGGCGAAGGCGGCUCACUGGCCCGGUACUGACGCUGAGGUGCGAAAGUGUGGGGAGCAAACAGG
rnacentral:rRNA from 1 species